AUGGGCUCAAGAAAGGAUCAGCACGGCAUUUCAUCCAACCGCUCGUUUGACAGCACACACGGACUUCCCGGAUUGGCCAACCAGACCAAUGGCACUGCCCACGCGCACAUGAUCAACAACAGCCUCUACUCCUCUGACGUGACCAAUGGGAGUUACUCAUACAUGGACGAUGAAGAGGAUGAAGAGCUGUCUCAUCGGGAACAUGACCUCACACACGGACACUACAGGUAUGUGUUUGUGUGCGUGUGUGUGUGCGUUGUACAUAAGAAUAUAUUCACUGUGUUUGUGUGUGUGUGUGUGUUCUUUCCUCCAGGGAGCCGUCCCUCUCCCCCAGCCUGCGGGGUCUCUCCUACCCGACCCCCAUGCCACUCGACGUGGCCCAGACGCCCACCAGUCCCCAGCCCCAGCGGCAGUACCAGCACGUCAAGGCCUCCAAGAGCAUGGACCUGGGUACGAGUGCCCCCGAGAGCCAGCAGCAACCCGGUGGGACACGGUUCAGUACCUCCGCUGCAUGGCUCUCUGGAGCUCAGCGCACUGACCCUGCAUGGAGGACUGGCUGGCUCUCUGUAA
rnacentral:lncRNA from 1 species